UACUAAAAACCAGGUCACUUUGGUAUAAUCACCCAAACCCAAUGAGGCAAGGUACCGAACACUGAAAGAUAUUUCAUCCACAAGGAUAAGCUGAGAAAGUAAUGGUUGCGGAGGCUCUAUAUCUUUGUCUAAAACAUAUAGACUAACAUUCCCAAUAUUUUCUGAUUGAAUACUGCGCGUCUCCACAUUAACAUACAUUUCUCCAGCAGAACCAGUAGCAAUACGGACAAGAGCAUUAGUGUCUUCACCCACAGAAUUUCCAGAUUUGAUAUUU